AACAGGAUUAGAUACCCUGGUAGUCACGCCGUAAACGAUGUCGACUUGGAGGCUGUUCCCUUGAGGAGUGGCUUCCGGAGCUAACGCGUUAAGUCGACCGCCUGGGGAGUACGGCCGCAAGGUUAAAACUCAAAUGAAUUGACGGGGGCCCGCACAAGCGGUGGAGCAUGUGGUUUAAUUCGAUGCAACGCGAAGAACCUUACCUACUCUUGACAUCCAGAGAAUUUAGCAGAGAUGCUUUAGUGCCUUCGGGAACUCUGAGACAGGUGCUGCAUGGCUGUCGUCAGCUCGUGUUGUGAAAUGUUGGGUUAAGUCCCGCAACGAGCGCAACCCUUAUCCUUUGUUGCCAGCGCGUAAUGGCGGGAACUCAAAGGAGACUGCCGGUGAUAAACCGGAGGAAGGUGGGGACGACGUCAAGUCAUCAUGGCCCUUACGAGUAGGGCUACACACGUGCUACAAUGGCGCAUACAAAGAGAAGCGACCUCGCGAGAGCAAGCGGACCUCAUAAAGUGCGUCGUAGUCCGGAUUGGAGUCUGCAACUCGACUCCAUGAAGUCGGAAUCGCUAGUAAUCGUAAAUCAGAAUGUUACGGUGAAUACGUUCCCGGGCCUUGUACACACCGCCCGUCACACCAUGGGAGUGGGUUGCAAAAGAAGUAGAUAGCUUAACCUUCGGGAGGGCGUUUACCACUUUGUGAUUCAUGACUGGGGUGAAGUCGUAACAAGGUAACCGUAGGGGAACCUGCGGCUGGAUCACCUCCUU
rnacentral:rRNA from 1 species